rnacentral:lncRNA from 1 species
UAUACAAGUAUUUAGACAAGUUGACACUACGAUUGAGACUCGAUAUAUGUAAUCAGAUUUUGGACAAAUAUAGCGUGAUCAACUAUAUUUGCCCAAGAUUGGACCAACGUAUAUCGAGGAAUGAUCGUAGUAAGCAACAAGUCAAAACUUACCAAACCAUUACAAGAAUCAAACACAAGAAUUUAAAUACUAUAGGAGUAUUUGCUAUCUAAACUAGUUUAACUUACAUGUUUUGCAUGUUUCAACUUUAUUCCAUUCUUAUAACCCUAUUUCUCGUACAGUCAAAUGGCUGGAUUUCACCACCCUGGCGACCCCUACUUUCCCAACCAAGGCAACGGAGGAUGGAUCGAAGAUGAUCCCGAAGAGGACGAGGAACCCAUAGAAGUGGGUGAUGACUCCGGUACCGACUCAGAGCCGGAAGUUAUCGAUCCACCACCCAUUCAACCUCCCGUCUUCGUAAGGAACUUUCAAGGACCGACUCCCGUCUGGGGAAGUCACCUCCACCAUUGGAGCCAACAGCAAAACCUACGCCCUCCCUACGGCAUGUGCCGGGACUUCUAUGAUGUCCGCGGCGGAGGUUCAGCUGAUCGAGCACUCCCGGUAAUGGUGGGUAAGUUAGCCAAUCAGUCCUAUCAGUCUGGAGUUCAAGCUAGUCGACUCCGGGAUGUCAACGUGGAAGUGCAGGUUCACACUUCUGACAUCCGUAGGCUGGACAAGAUACAAGACAAUGCUCAACUCCAAACCGAAGCAUUUCAAGCGCAAAUGAUUGCAGCCCUCGCUGAACUGAGGGAACAACAAGCCGCUUUUGAUAGGCGUCUAAUGGAGUCGAAGCAAUCAGAUGCGGAGUCAAGCUCCAAGCGCAACCUUCGACGCAAGUAGUGCUUGUCAAGGACUCAAAUUUUGUUAUAGCUUAGGACCUCGGCUAAAAGUCUUUAAAUUUCUCGAACUUUGUAAUCGGAGACCCUUAUAGGGGUCAAAUUUUCAUGAUCGUUGUAACAACUUUUAUAUUAAUAUAAGUGACACUAUUACUACUAUGUUAAGUAUUUCGUUCGAACCUUGAAUGGUCUUUGUGAAACCAAAUACUUGUUUCAUACCUUCAGUCUUACAAAUAACUUUCAUUCUUCUAUUUUAAGACUCAUACUAUCAUCUGUGGUUGAACUAUAGCGAUUUAGUUCAUGAGACACAUACAUUUUCUAUUCUAUGAAAUUCUUAUCCUUGUCUUCUCAACCUAUAGUUAAAGGAUGCCUCCGCGUAGAAAUCCAAGGCGGAACAAUGGUGGGGAAGCACCAGUUUCUAUUCUAUGAAAUUCUUAUCCUUGUCUUCUCAACCUAUAGUUAAAGGAUGCCUCCGCGUAGAAAUCCAAGGCGGAACAAUGGUGGGGAAGCACCAGUACCACCUCC